GUUAGGAAUAUUGGACAAUGGGCGAAAGCCUGAUCCAGCCAUGCCGCGUGAACGAUGAAGGCCUUCGGGUUGUAAAGUUCUUUAGCCGAUGAUUAUAAUGACUGUAGUCGGAAAAUAAGCCCCGGCUAACUUCGUGCCAGCAGCCGCGGUAAUACGAAGGGGGCGAGCGUUAUUCGGAAUCACUGGGCGUAAAGCGUGCGUAGGCGGUCUCGUAAGUUAGGAGUGAAAGCCCAGGGCUCAACCUUGGAAUUGCUCUUAAAACUGCAAGGCUAGAAUCUCGGAGAGGAUAGCGGAAUUUCCAGUGUAGCAGUGAAAUGCGUAGAUAUUGGAAGGAACACCAGUGGCGUAAGCGGCUAUCUGGACGAGUAUUGACGCUGAGGCACGAAAGCGUGGGGAUCAAACAGGAUUAGAUACCCGUGUAGUCC
rnacentral:rRNA from 1 species